rnacentral:misc_RNA from 1 species
GUCCUGUGCCUUCAAUGAAAAUAAUGCCCUGUUCUGAAGCUUGAUCCAUAGCCUUUGAAGUGAGCUCCAUCUUUUCAAGGGCACUCACAAUUGCAGGAACUCUACGAUGGGAUUCUGGAUGCGACUCCUGGUUAUGACCCAAAGCAGGAGCUACGCUAUAAAUAACUCGAGCAUUAGUAAGUUCUUGAAUAGAUGGUAGGUUUGUAUCCUUGUUGAAACUGUGAGAACAAGAAAUAGAAGCUCCAAUUCUUUCGGUGCAGUGCUCCCUCCAUGAUACUGCGUGUUUCUCCAAACGUCUACCCUUUACAAAUACAGUACCAAAAUCAAGCCUUUUAUACUUCUUCCACUUGAGUAAGUUCUGGAUUGCCAAAACUGGAG